CACGUUGUGCUCAUCUGCCAGUCCAUACAGACAUUCCACAGAAUCAGAGAAUGGCUGAGGUUGGAAGUUGGUCAUAUUGUCCAACCUCUUGUACAAGCAAGGCCACCCUGAGCAGGUUGCCAAGGACAAUGACAACCUGCCUUUUAAGUAUCUUCAAGGAUGGAGACUCCCCAACCUCUCUGAGUGACCCGUGCCAGUGCUCAGUCCCACACACUGUGAUAGUGAUUCAGUUUGUGCCAACUG